AAAUGUGCCUUUAAAAUCUGAAACAUGGUGGGACAACUCACAUGACUGGAGGAUCGCGAUGGAUGGCUAUAGGCUGUUUCAUAAAGACA